GAUGAACGCUAGCUACAGGCUUAACACAUGCAAGUCGCAGGACUGGCGCACGGGUGAGUAACGCGUAUCCAACCUUCCCAUGACCACGGGAUAACCCGUUGAAAGACGGACUAAUACCGUAUGGUGAUUGUUGGGGAUGCGUCUGAUUAGCUUGUUGGCGGGGUAACGGCCCACCAAGGCGACGAUCAGUAGGGGUUCUGAGAGUAAGGUCACCCACAUGGGAACUGAGCAACGGUCCAAACACCUACGUGAGGCAGCAGUGAGGAAUAUUGUGCACUAGGGGAGAGCCUGAACCAGCCAAGUAGCGUGCAGGACGACGGCCUAUGGGUUGUAAACUGCUUUUAUGCGGGGAUAGGUACCGCAUGAAUAAGGACCGGCUAAUUCCGUGCCAGCAGCCGCGGUAAUUC
rnacentral:rRNA from 1 species